ACUUCCCAAAACUGCAGGAACAGAUCCAGGGUGAGAGAGACGUUUAUCCUUAUGUUGACUUCAUAGACAAGCUGAUUGGAAACUUCAGUAAAAGGUUCAACAGCUCCAGCCUUGGGCAGCAGCUCCUCCUGCUAAUCCAGAAUCCUUUCCUCAUCAGAGAAGUCAGAGGAUUUUCGAAGGAAGUGACACAGACAUUCAAGUGGGCACAUGCAGGAUCUCUACAGCUUGAGCUCAUUGAUCUGCAAGGAAAUGCUCCAUUAAGAGAGCAUUUUGAGGCAACUGACCCUGCUACUUUCUGGCUACAGACUGUGUCUGAGAGUGUGUUCCCUGGUCUCACCAAAGUAGCACUGCACACCUUGACUAUGUUUGGAUCGACUUACAGCUGUGAGUCAGCUUUUUCCACUAUGAACAUUAUCAAAAACAAGAACCGUUCAAGGCUCACCAACGAACACCUACAUGUCUGCAUGAGAAUGGCACUGACUCCAUUCCAACCAAGAUUUAAAUCACUGGCAGGGCAGUCCCAUGCCCAUUUCUCUCAUUAAGAAAAGUUAAAAAAAAAGAAUAACUAAAAGAGGUGGUGUUCAAAGUUCUGUUUGCAUUUUUUUUCCUAAAAGAGGCACUUUUUAUUUAUUGUUUUCUGAAGAUGUUGAAUUUUUUUACUUGAAAAGGAAGCCUUCACUUUUGUUAUGCUGAGAUCUCUGUAAGAAAAAAAGAGAAAAAUGUUUAGUCAAUACUUUGUUUGCACAUGUUUUUCCUAAAGAAGCCACUUUUUAUUUAUUGUUUUCUGAAGAUGUUGACUUUUUUUUUUAACUUGAAUAGUAGGCUUUCAAUUUUUAGGCUGGGACAUCUUCAAGAAAAAAAAUAAAACUUUAAUCAAUGCUAUGUUUGCACAUAUUCUUUUUCCUAAAAGAGCCACUUUUUAUUCAUUUUCUCCUGAUGAUGUUGACUGUUUUACUUGAAGUGUAGGCCUUUAAUUCUUUAGGCUGGGACCUCAUUAAUUUGAGAGAAAAAAGGGUUUUUUGGCUCUGCUCGCAAUUUAUUUUAUUCUGAGAUUUCUGUUUUCUUUAAUCUGAAAUAAAGGCCUUAAAUUUAUUUGCCUGGGACUACUUUUAUUUAGGGCAAAAGAGCUAGCUGUGCACUCUGUUAAACAUUUCUUGCAUUGAAAAUAGACAAUAAAUACUGUUGAAUCCAUAUGAAAAUGUCGACAUAGGGAACGGCUAUAAGACACAAGCUGGACUUCCGUUCGGACCUUUUACUUGGGGGAAAUUUUAAGAACUGGACCUCAGUGACUUUUAAUUGAAUACCCCUGAUAUAGCGUGUCGAAGGAAUUUAAAAGUGGGAUAGGAUCAGCUGAGAAGAAUGAGGAUGAUAAAUUAGGUACGCCGCAUCUAAAGCAGAUCCACGAGACGCUGUUGUCAACCAAUCCAGCGUAAGUCGGCGUGAAAGACCCGAUACAGCUGACGUGGUACCAGCCAGCAUGCUCGGAUCUAUCACGACACGAAUCACACUGGAUGGCCCUCUGCCCCCACCUCACCGCCUUGCUACAAAGUUGGCAAGGAUACUUAGGGCAAUAAGGGCCAGGGUUGACCAUAGCGCCCGUGUCUCCACAUAGAAGCAGCAAGAGAAGGAUGGUGUGUCGUCUGUGUGCUUUUGUAUCGUAUUUGUGUGCCGUUCGAAAUACUGAAUCAUGGUGAGUGAAAACGACUGUUGUGUGUGAGUGCUUGUUUGUGGUUGUCGUGGGUGUGUUGCUUGUGUCCUCGAAUGUGUUAAUGCAUGUAGUAUAAGUGCUAUGAGUGUAACUGUGGUGAUAAGGAAGGCACUGUGUAUGCUAGUAUUACGUUUUUCUUGUUUUACCUUCCGUAAGCGUGUACGGUAUUGUUGUGUUGUCAGCCACCUAGUGUUACGCCGCUUCGUGAGCUGGAACAGCCUCGUCCGGCAGUUUAAAGUAGUUGCCAUCUCUCUCUCUCUCUCUCUCUCUCUCUCUCUCUCUCCCCAAUAUUUGUUAAUGUCUUGUUGUUUUGGCAAGUGUUUGUUGCAUCCAUUGUUUUGCUGUGGACUUUGUACAGCACAAGUGCUUGCAUUAUUUUGUCUCUUUAUUGAGCCAGAGGCCUUCUAGUAGUCAUGGAGGUCACAGCAUCCCAGAAAACAGUGGACAGCCUGGGUCUGGUCCCCUUGUCCGGCACCUUUGCUGCGUCUUCACGGAGAGCAAGAGGGAGCUUUCAUCUUUACUUCUUGGCCUCCGAGAGUAUUUAUUUGUCUCCGUGGUUGUUUGUUUCCGGAGUUUUUGUCUCCUUUAAUCUUGUUGGUGACAAUUUGAUUCUUUCAUAUUUAAACAUGUCUGGUUUUAUUUAUUUAUUUAUUUAUUUAUUUUGAUCCACGAUAUCUUGUUGUUCUUUCUCUCAAAGCGACGACGCUCUGCACACUUCCCUGCUCUGUUCUUUCCCUUCCUUGAUGCCCUUUUCUGUGGUGGCUGUUCUGCAGCAUUGUUCUGUCUCUGUUUUCCGCUUCCCAUAUCCACAAGGUGCUUUUCAGCUGCCUGCUGCAUGGUUGCCUCCAGGUUGUCAAGGGCAGCUAGUUCACUGCUCUGGGUCUAUUUUGCCUCAGUUUCUUUGAUGCAGUUGUCACAAUGUUGGGGUUGAAAACCAGUAACUGUGUUGUGCUCUGCUACAUUUUAUGGAAUUUGUAGAUGCUUUUGGUAUUCAGUUUGAAGCAUGUUUCUAUGAGGCUGUGAUCUUUGUCCCAACAGCCACCCCUGGUGCUGGUGCAGCACCGAGGGUCUGAGGUGGGUGCCGUGCUGCGUCCUCACUGCUGCUGACUUCAGUUGCAGUGGAGGCUUCAGGGCCGGGCAGCAGCCUGAGGGGCCAGGACCAGCAGGAGCAGCCUGCCACUGCUGUGAGGAUGAGUGCCAGACCAUGCACUACAGUACAGUGCAAUUCCUUCAUCAUAUUUUGUGCCAAAGAAAAAAAAUUAGUGCCAUAACUUUGAACAGCACCUUGCAUGCUCUGAUCAGGGGUGGUCAGGAGAACCACCACCACCACCACCACCACUUUGCAACUAGCAUCUCCAGCCAAAAAGGAAAGGUCGAGUUUGAGUGAGAGAAGAUUUGAGACCGAGAGCAAGGUCACCAGACACAGCCUUGCACACACUGCUGAAGGGAAGCAUGAGUGCCAAGAGUGUGGGAAAAGACUCCCUGGGAAGGGUGACCUCAACAAACACACCCACAUACUCUGGUGGAAGACCUCAUGAAUGCCAAGAGUGUGGCAAAGUGUUUGGUCAGAAGAGUGACCUUAAUAGACAUACCCUUACACACACUGGUGAAAGACCUCAUGAAAGCCUAGUGUGUGGCAAAGUGUUCAGUAGGAAGGGUAACCUUAACACACAUACCCUUACACACACUGGUGAAAGACCUCAUGAAUGCCAAGAGUGUGGCAAAGUGUUCAGUAGGAAGAGUAGCCUUAACACACACACCCUUAUACACACUGGUGAAAGACCUCAUGAAUGCCAAGAGUGUGGCAAAGUGUUCAGUAGGAAGGGUAACCUUAACACACAUACCCUUACACACACUGGUAAAAGACCUCAUGAAUGCCAAGAGUGACUGCAUGUCAUCAGUAUUGCUAUUAUUGUUAUAUUAUUAUACCGCAAUUAUAUUACUUUCUCUGCAUGUGUGGUUAGAUGUGUUUUAUGUGUUUAACCUUUCUGUAUACAUACUGGAAUGAAUCAAGGAAUUGCAGCCCUACUGCCGUUCUUUAAAAACUAUAUGAUCAUGUUUUUCUUCCAAACUCAUUGUUUUAGCACGCACGCUGACUUCCAUCAGUAAUGAAUACUAAUGAUGAUAUAUAUUAAUUGAGUCAUUGGUUUGUUGGGGGAAAGAGUGGGUGAAUAUAAUUAUCUUGGUCUAACUUAUACUGCUUAUUAUACCGCUAUUCACAGCAAUAUCUUUCUCUGCUCCGAUUGCAACGCUGCCUCGUUCAAAAAUCAUAACACCGACGCGCCGCCACGUUUGCCAGCCGGAGCCUCAAAUCAUGUCCCUUUGUGGUGAUAAAGAGGACACAGCCUGGUGUGAAGCUACAUUUAUUACGGAAGGAUGCCAGCCGGGGUAAGUGACAUAUAUAAACAAUGAUAAUGUGGAAAUUCUAAUCAUUUUCACGCUGACAGCUGUUCUGAACUUGCUAACUGCAUGCCUCCCCUCCUCCCGCGGCAAGAGGCCGAAUGGCCUACACACGGCAGCUCCAGAUUCCUCCCCAUUACCACCUGUCAUCUUCGUCCAUGUAGCUAUCCAGUCUACUCUUAAAACAAGCUAUCGUCCCUGCACUCACUAUGUGAUUGCUGAAUCUAUUCCAUUCCCCCACCACCCUAUUACUAAACCAAUGCCUGCCCAUUUCCCUCCUAAAUCUAUACUUUUCUAAUUUAAGUCAAUUACUGCAUGUUCUAUCUUGCCAAACAUCUUAUGCAAAAGUUAACCAGCAUCUCCACUCUUUCAUCCCUUACACUGAUAAACUCUGGAACAGACUUCCAUUGUCUGCAUUUCCUCCUGCCUAUAAUUUGACCUUCAAGAAGAGUGUAUCAAGACUCUACUUUUGUCUGUUUGGGAGUGGUGAGUAGUGGUGCUUUUUUUUCAAGUACGCUUUGUUGCCCUUGAGCUGUCUCCUUUGUUUAAAGGAAAUAAUAAUUAAAUAAAUGGAAGUUGGCCGCCAAUGCUUCCAACACAUUUUGGUGCCAUAUCUACAAGUGGUUGGUGACUGUAGGUAUCUCAGUAACCUGCAUGCAUCUAUGCCAUUCCUAUCACGGUGCAUGGAGCAAGCUUCACAUAACACUCAGACAGAGACAGUUUAAUUAUGGUUACAUAUCAGACUCAGUUUAUUGCUCAGUCUAUUAGAUGCAGUGCUGUUAAUAUUGUUAGUGGUAGUAUUAGUACAAUUAAUGUAUUUAUUUUAAUUUAUUUAUCAGUAUUUAUUUAUUAUAUUUUUAGUGUUUGAAAAUUCCAAUACUAGUAUUAAGAUAAACUAAAAUAUCAGAAAUAUAUUUAUACUUAUUAAUUAUUAUUGCUUUUCUUAUUAUUACUUCCUUCAAUGUCCUGGCACUUUGACAUCUAGUGCUUUUCCAUCUAUCAGUCAAAAUUGUGGUCUUUCUGAAUGUGUAUGUCCUAAGUCUUCAUUGGUGUAACUAGCUAUAUAACAUAAAAAUCUGCAUCUCUCUCCCUUCUCACCCAGUUGUCCCUGUACAUCCUUUCAGUAUCCAAAGAAUUUCAAUUUACAUCUUGUAAUCACUCAACUAAUGCAGUGCAAUCCUCAUCUCUGUAUUUUACCGUGUGGACAUACUCUUUCCUUCCAUGUUCCACUGUCGUAUGUUAUUCCACAUCUAACACAACCACAUCCCAACAAAUCCGAACAUGUCCGAUAUCAUCCAAGAGAAUGUGGCAGCUGAAGGGGGAGAGGCCAAGAAAGAGGCCAAGGGUGAAGACAUUUAGCCACCCCCCCUGAAGUACGUGGCAGCAUUCAACCCUCUUGGUGAGCUGCAGGAAUUUGCUUCCCAUUGCAGUGCACCAGCUCCAUGUACUGAUUUUGGGUGUGAACUUGAUGGGGUUGGAGGCAACUCGACUCGGCCAUCAAGCUCACCACAAUAUAACAUGAAAAGUGAAAAUUGCUGCACACAACAGUCUGCCGUCUGCACCGGGAGGCAAGGCAGCUCAAAGCCCAGGCUGUUACAACUCCUGGGCAGUUUUUGCCCAGAGCCAGCAAUUUUUUAGAUCCAAUAGGGGUGGAUUUUUUCUGAGGUCAGGUUCAACAUGCUGCAAGAUGCCAAGAUCUAAGCCUAGUAGGAGAUAUGGGUUACAAGAGAGGAGGUUUGCUCUGGCCUUAUACUAUCAAAGGCCAAAUGCUAAUAGAUUUCUAAGCACAGUAUUUCACUUGCCUUCAGUUUCAAUACUUCACUUAUGACUCGGGGGUAUUUCAGUAAAUGUUGGCUGGAGCAAACACUCUGACAGCCCUGCAGCAAAGAGCACAGGCUUUGUCAAAAGAAGAGAAACUUCAUGGGAUUUGCCAUUAUGUAGUAUUACUCUUGUUACGCCAAGAAUAUUUUUCCAUAUACUUUGCCAAAUAUUGCAAGUAAUGCACCAUUGUUGGGCUUGCUUGUUAUAAAUCAGAUCUUGUUCAAUUAACAAGCUUUGGGUGUCUGCCACUUUCCAGUUGUAAUGCAAGGAAUCAUUUAUCUCCCCUGCCAGAUAUCACAUGUAAUGCACCAUUGUUGGUUUUGCCUGUUAUAAAUCAGAUCUUGUUCAAUUAACAAGCUUUGGGUGUCUGCCACUUUCCAGUUGUAAUGCAAGGAAUCAUUUAUCUUCCCUGCCAGAUAUCACAUGUAAUGCACCAUUGUUGGUUUUGCCUUUUUUUUACGUCGUUGCCUGUUGCGCCGGUAGGCAUCUUCCUGGUGGGGCCUGAUGGUCGGCCCAAGGCUUCUUCCAGGUGGGGCCUGAUGGUCGGGCCAGCCCGUUCUGGCGCAGGCGAGUGUUUAUAGUGGCGCCAUCUUGCAUUGGCUCAUGCUGCCCCCCGGAACUCGUUCUUGAUUCGCUUGGAUGGCUUCCUCUAGAGUCCGGGUUGAUGGGUGGUCUUCAGGACAGCAUGUGGGUAGUUUUAAGCCACUCGGCGGUGACUGAAAAAUCCGAGUGGUAGCGUGGGGAUUCGAACCCGCCGUCCAU